AUCGCUUCUCUGCCUUUUGGCUAAAAUCAAGUGUAGUAUCUGUUCUUGGGUUUGGGGGAUUAAGAUAGCUGACCAUAGAAGAGAAAAAUUUAACCAUAAAAGUGGUGCCAGGGCUCGAAACUAACGAUUGCCCGAUUGCCCGGGGCAAGUAGCGAUGGCAGACGGGCAAGUAGAAUUUUUCCUCACUUGCCCGAACUUGC